rnacentral:rRNA from 1 species
CUCGAGUGGCGAACGGGUGAGUAACACGUGAGUAACCUGCCCACAACUUUGGGAUAACGCUAGGAAACUGGUGCUAAUACUGGAUAUGUGCUCCUGCUGCAUGGUGGGGGUUGGAAAGCUCCGGCGGUUGUGGAUGGACUCGCGGCCUAUCAGCUUGUUGGUGGGGUGAAGGCCUACCAAGGCGGCGACGGGUAGCCGGCCUGAGAGGGUGUACGGCCACAUUGGGACUGAGAUACGGCCCAGACUCCUACGGGAGGCAGCAG